GCUUUAUGUCACAGGGAUCAUAUUAUUUGUAAAACAGGAAAAAAAGAUGUUUUGCACAGUGACUCAUAAAACUUAUAAAAACUUUACAAGAAAAAAAAAAAAAGCAAUAGAAACAAGAGAGAUGAUCUACUUGGCAUCAGCUACAAUUUCUUGAAUUCCAUGGUCCAGUAAUGCAAAAUUAUCUUCCAUCUAAAUCAGCCAGAUUAACAUAGGGGCUAU